GACGAACGCUGGCUGCGUGCUUUACACAUGCAAGUCGAACGCUGAAGCCGACAGCUUGCUGUUGGUGGAUGAGUGGCGAACGGGUGAGUAACACGUGAGUAACCUGCCCCUGAUUUCGGGAUAAGCCUGGGAAACUGGGUCUAACACCGGAUACGACCACCUGACGCAUGUUGGGUGGUGGAAAGUUUUUCGAUCGGGGAUGGGCUCGCGGCCUAUCAGCUUGUUGGUGGGGUAAUGGCCUACCAAGGCGACGACGGGUAGCCGGCCUGAGAGUGCGACCGGCCACACUGGGACUGAGACACGGCCCAGACUCCUACGGGAGGCAGCAGUGGGGAAUAUUGCACAAUGGGGGAAACCCUGAUUCAGCGACGCAGCGUGCGGGAUGACGGCCUUCGGGUUGUAAACCGCUUUCAGCAGGGAAGAAGCGAAAGUGACGGUACCUGCAGAAGAAGUACCGGCUAACUACGUGCCAGCCGCCGCGGUAA
rnacentral:rRNA from 1 species